rnacentral:snRNA from 1 species
CUACUUACCUCGAUAGGAUCAAUGUAUGAUCAUGACCUCCAUUGCACUUCAGAGGGGUGCCGCCUAAGGUGUUCUCGAAUAGAACAACCUACAUCAUAAUUUGUUGAUGGUGGAGCUAUAUCAAAUGAUUGGGAUAUUUUCUCCUC